rnacentral:rRNA from 1 species
GACAGCCAGGAUGUUGGCUUAGAAGCAGCCAUCAUUUAAAGAAAGCGUAAUAGCUCACUGGUCGAGUCGGCCUGCGCGGAAGAUGUAACGGGGCUAAACCAUGCACCGAAGCUGCGGCAGCGACGCUUAUGCGUUGUUGGGUAGGGGAGCGUUCUGUAAGCCUGCGAAGGUGUGCUGUGAGGCAUGCUGGAGGUAUCAGAAGUGCGAAUGCUGACAUAAGUAACGAUAAAGCGGGUGAAAAGCCCGCUCGCCGGG